UUGUAUUUGGCUUUACAUUUUUUCUUUAUUAUACUAUAUGUUUUUUUUUUUCUGGCUUUAUUACUUCUUUAAUAAUAAAUGGGAGGGAUUGUUGAGGUGUUGGGUCUAAACA
rnacentral:ribozyme from 14 species